rnacentral:piRNA from 1 species
UAGAGUCUUUGCAAGACCAACGGCCU